UUCCAUAGAGAGGCCUCCGGGUGUCACAUGAUGGACAUGAUAUAACGAAACAACAUCGUGGGGAGGAAGGGAGGGAAGCAGUGGGGGAGCCCGGGGAGGCGGCGGGGUAGGCGGUGGUGCCCCCCGACCCGCCCGCCCCGGCUGCACCUGUCUCGGCGCGCCGGGAGCGCGGUGUCCGCCCCGCUGAUGGGGCUGCGGGCGGCACCUUCCCCCGGGGAGCGGACGACGAGGAGGAGGAGAAGGAGGAGAAGGAGCGCCGGUGGCGGAGGUUUUCAUGACUGUUCUGAUUCCUGUUGCUGCAGCCAGCGUGGAUCCGGAUGCCGUGGCUACAGAGGCUUGUUACUUUCUCAUGCUGGAUCCCUCAAAUCCAAGAGCUACUUGGCAGUUUCCAAGGCAACCACCUGUGGAAUAAUUAAAAAGGAUGAAGUGUUAGCCUGCCAGAUAUAAGGAAUCCUUGCCUGGAGAGAGCAUUUCACUUUCGUCUGCCUUGAAGAAUCAAAUGUGCUUCUGCCAGCAGAGUUAAGAAAAAGGAACGGUGGCUGAGUUGUACAAGUGAACCAGGACAAUCCAAAACGUGACUCAAAGCAGGAGGGAGCAGAUGGCAGCAUCGUUAGCUGGUGGCCACAGCCUUCCCAGAUGAGUUUUGGAAUUUCCAUCAAAGUCGGGAUUAGGCUCAGGAUAUGCCGGUGGCACAGAGCACGCCGGGGGAGCGUGGAAGAAGAGGAAAUCAUUCAUAGCGACUCAUCUCGUGGUUGGGUGCUGAUCUCACAAAGGUGUCCUGCAUAUGCCAAAGGACGAACAUGUUGUUUGAGGGGAAAAGCUGUUCAUAAAUCUCUGCAAACUGAAAGAUUCUGAAGACAAACCUGUCAGUAGUGAAUUGUCCCAGAAGCACAUGGAGAAAGUUGUACAUGGUGGAGGCUGUUUUUUUUCUGAGGCUGAAACUCAUCUCAACUCCUCAUGACCAACUGAGCAAGAGAGAUGGGAUUUGAUGCUAUCCAAGGUGUAAUUCCACAGUUCAUGUCUUUUGCUACUGCCAGCUUAAUAAGUUUCUGCCCACUCCCAGCCAUUCAUUUCCAGCGCAGCAGCAAUGCAGUGCCAUCUCUUCCCUGACCGUGCGGAAAACCAGAUGGCUGAAAAUAACUCAGUCAAGAAAAGAAACCCUAUAUUUUAUUUUUUUCGUUUGAAUUAGAAUCAUUUGAAUGAUGCCCACGGGCAGUCGUAUUGGUACAACUGAAGGUGACAUGAACUGCAGCAUCAGAGGCAGCAGUGAGCACUGGAGGGUGUCCCAAUGCUAAGUGAUCUUGCUGUCAACAAAAAUCUACUCUGGGACCAUAUCCUGGAUGAAGGGGUUUCACUAGCCACAGGAUUAUUUAUUGAACUGCUGCUUUUCAUUUAUUUUAUUAAGGAAGAUUAACAUCUUCUUGUUUGGGCAGGUUUAUUUUUUUUUACUUGAGGAGAUAAACCAUCUCUGUGAGAAGUCAGUCAGCUUUGUGGACAGCCAUGAAUGUCAAUAAAGUCUUGGCAAACACAGUAGGCAUUUAUUCAGCCUUGCAAAUUAAAAACAUUUUUCCUGCUUGUUUAGUGAAGGGAACAAAAAAAGACAAAUUACAUAGCGGAUGAGCUCUCUUGAUAGUUGGAAUUCAUUAAGCUGGUGGUGAAAACGCUGGGGGAUUGAUGGUGCAGAAAAAGAAAAGAUGAAGCAGCUUUUCCCCAAUAGCUGUGGUUUAAGUUCAAGUUGAAAAUGACCAAAAAAAAAAAAAAUCCCUUAAAGACAUCUGUAACUGACUUCACAGUCUCAGUUUCUAUCUGGGUAGACAGUUCUUUUCUCACUGCAGUUAAUAUUAAUUGGUUUUUCAGCUGACAGAUAAUUUCUCAGUGGUUCCUUCAUCUCCAUCAUGCCAUGGGGUGUCUGCAGCAGCUCAUAAAUGAGAUCCACGGCGAGGCGUUAAGUAGGAAGUUCUCACAGUCCCUUCCCCUGCUACAGACAGAGCCUUUCUGCAGACUUGUCACUCUGUCAUCUUCCCCCUGGUUUCACGUUUUAUUAAAAAAAAAAAAAAAAUAAAUGGGGGGAAUUUAAAAAGUUACAGUAAGUUGAACAGUUUGUCAUAUGUAAUGUUCUCACAGGCCAUUGUCUGCAAAUUACAGGCUGGCUCGGUCUUUCAGAUGGAUCAUAAAGCUGUCCUAAGUCAAGCUCUCACAAAAUCCAUUUACACAGCUCCUGUUGUGGCAGGGCACGGAAAGGAAGCAGUAGGACUUAUUUUUUAAUGAAUUUCCUGUGCAGGAUCAUUAGUCCACAUGGAAGUCUUUCCAAGUCGCACCCAGUGCAUGUUCUCUCUGAUUAUCCCUGAUUAAUCUGAUAAAGUGCCCACAGUUGUCAUUUGCAGUCUCAGAUGGGAUCACAGUUCUCAAAUUAUUCCAAGUGCAGAAAUUCUGCAGGAAUUCAUCAGUGGAAGAGAGAGGGUUCCCUCAUAGGUGUUUGAAUGCAGCUUAAACCACCUGUAAAUCAGUACAUUUACUCAGCAGCAAAACAAAACCAUUGUAAACUUUAUUCUUGCAGUGCUUUAAUUGCAGAUAAAGCUUUGCUCAUGCAAGUCAUCCCAUCAAUGUCAAAUAAAAACAUGAAUUAUGAAGUAUUUAAGAUUAGGGCUUAAGUCACUGGCAUGUCAUUCUCUUAAUUUUCUCUGGAGGAUUACAGAACACUUAAUUUGUAAUUACAGAAACAAAAAUGUAAUCAAAUGCUCUUCCAGCUACAGGUUUUACCAAUUUACAGUGAAUUCUGGGUUUGCUCUUCCUAUUUCCCAAGCUCUUGCUUUUAAAUCUAAAAAAAUUAACUCCUCUGUUCUUCUUCUUCU